rnacentral:rRNA from 1 species
AACGAACGCUGGCGGCAUGCUUAACACAUGCAAGUCGAACGAGAAGGCCUGGUUUAGUGGCGCACGUGUGCGUAACGCGUUGGCACAUGCCUUAGGGAUAGGAAUAACUUCUCGACCGGGGUGCGAAUUACGGCUGGUGUAUUCGGACUAAGGGUUUAUCGCCUUUGGGUGGGCCCGCGUUGGAUUAGCUAGUUGGUAUGGUAAAUGCCUACCAAGGCGACGACUCUUAGCUGGUCAGAGGGGAUGAGCAGCAACACUGGGACUGAGACACGGCACAGACUCCUAAGGGAGGCAGCUGGGGGGAAUAUUGGACAAUGGGCGAAGGCCGGAUCCAGCAGGGCCGCGGGAGGUAUGAAGGCCUUGGGGUUGUAAAGCUCUUUUAGCCGGGAGGAUAAUGACAGUACCGGGAGAAUAAGCUCCGGCUAACUCCGUG